GCCAGUUUAGCUCAGUUGGUAGAGCAACGCAUUCGUAAUGCGUAGGUCCUCGGUUCGAAUCCGUGAACUGGCU
rnacentral:tRNA from 1 species